AUACGGAGGGUGCAAGCGUUACUCGGAAUUACUGGGCGUAAAGCGCGCGUAGGCGGCUUAUUAAGUCAGAUGUGAAAUCCCCGGGCUCAACCUGGGAACUGCAUCUGAUACUGGUAAGCUAGAGUUUUGGAGAGGGAAGUAGAAUUUCAGGUGUAGCGGUGAAAUGCAUAGAGAUCUGAAGGAAUACCAGUGGCGAAGGAGACUUCCUGGCCAAAAACUGACGCUGAGGUGCGAAAGCGUGGGUAGCAAACGGGAUUAGAAACCCCGGUAGUCC
rnacentral:rRNA from 1 species